rnacentral:rRNA from 1 species
CCUACGGGGGGCAGCAGUGGGGAAUAUUGGACAAUGGGGGCAACCCUGAUCCAGCCAUGCCGCGUGUGUGAAGAAGGCCCUCGGGUUGUAAAGCACUUUCAGUGAGGAAGAACGCCUGGUGGUUAAUACCCAUCAGGAAAGACAUCACUCACAGAAGAAGCACCGGCUAACUCCGUGCCAGCAGCCGCGGUAAUACGGAGGGUGCGAGCGUUAAUCGGAAUUACUGGGCGUAAAGCGCGCGUAGGUGGCUUGAUAAGCCGGUUGUGAAAGCCCCGGGCUCAACCUGGGAACGGCAUCCGGAACUGUCAAGCUAGAGUGCAGGAGAGGAAGGUAGAAUUGCCGGUGUAGCGGUGAAAUGCGUAGAGAUCGGGAGGAAUACCAGUGGCGAAGGCGGCCUUCUGGACUGACACUGACACUGAGGUGCGAAAGCGUGGGUAGCAAACAGGAUUAGAUACCCCUGUAGUC